GGGUGGAUACCCAAGUGGCUAAAGGGGCCAGACUGUAAAUCUGGUAGCAUUGCUUUCGCAGGUUCGAAUCCUGCUCCACCCA
rnacentral:tRNA from 2 species